AACGCACAUUGCGCCCACUGGUAUUCCGGUGGGCAUGCCUGUUCGAGCGUCAUUAUCAACCAUCAAGCUCUGCUUGGCAUUGAGUGUCACCUCCCCCCCACGGGGUGGGCGCGCUUCAAACCGGUCGGCGGUGGCUCAGGCCUCUUAAGCGUUAGUAAUACUUCCCGCUUCUAGAGCCUGUGGUCGCCCGCCUCCAAAACCCAACACCUCAAGGUUGACCUCGGAUCAGGUAGGGAUACCCGCUGAACUUAA
rnacentral:misc_RNA from 1 species